UGAUAACAGGCCCUGCCUGCCGGCCGACGUCUGAACCUAAUGCUCUCACGUCGGUGGGCGCCGGAGCCAACUCCCCCCUUUGUCAACCGUCCCACAGAUGCGGUGCCUCGUCUCAAGAUAACAAUGACAGCGACCAUAAUACCUUUAAUAGAGGAUUUGCAGGCAACCUUGCAAUAACUCCACGCUCCCCCAGGGGUCUGGAAGACAACAGGUUGGCGAUGACUUAUCUAAAAAAUGGAUGGACAGCAAAUACUUCAGGCAAUGCUCCAUAAAUAUUGUUUCUCUCUGCAGAGCUUGCGAAAGAGAGUGUGUGUGUGAGUGGGCCAGAGGGAAGGUAGAGACCUCAAGCCAACUCCAAGCCCAGAGCAGAGCCCGACGAAUCUCAGGACCCAGAGAUUAUGACCUGAGCCAAAAUCAAGAGCCAGUCGCUCAACCAACGGAGCCAUGCAGGCUAACCGCUCCCCUGAGUCUGACACACCGACUUCGUGCUUCAAAAAAGGGAGAUUAAGCAAAGAAAGGCCAAGACGUUAGUCACACACACAUGCCCAUAGAAACCUCAAUAAACUGGACGUGAGUGAGAAAGCUGAAACGAUGCCUGUAUAUCCACACCUAUGGAUAUUUCCAAAUCGGAGCUUCUGGAUCUCAGGAACACAAUAGCACAGCAACAUUUUCAUGGCAAAGCAGCCUGAAUUCCUGUGAUAAAUAAUUCUCAGUCCCACACAGCAGGAGUCUUUCAGAAUCUCUGCUUUAAUAACAGGAGAGUUUAAUUACAAAGCCAAUGAGUUAUGAUCGACGCUCCCAGCCUCCUCCACCCCAGCUCCCAACACCCGGGACCGCAGCUGCAUACACAAGUACGGACAAGUGUGUUUCCCUCUUGUUUUGAAGGGACGGGAGAGGUCAAAAACUGUGCGGCUCAACGUCCUCGGAGAACUAACACUUUUCCCAGAGAGGACCUUCGGCUGCAGAGGUUUUCGCUAACAAGUAGUUUAACCUCGAGAUAUUGUGAGACCCACAAGAACAAAGCUUUUCAUCUCUUUUGUUUCCAAUGCCUACAACAUGGUCACAUCCAACAAAUUGAUAUUGAAUCUCUCAAUGAACAAAUAAGAAAAUACAUUUUCAUCAGAGGCAUGAGGAGCCCUAAGUGUCAUGACAAGUCGAGACUUGAUCCUGAGGGCAAGACCAAACGAUGAAAAAGAUGGGAUAAAAAAACUCUCAAUAGGGGAAAAGAUUCCUGAUGUUUGACUGGGCAAUGAUUCCUUGGACAAAAAUAAAAGACAACAAAAGAAAAGUAGGUAAAUUAGACUACAUCAAAAUUCAAAACUUUUGUGAAUCAAAGGACACUAUCAAUAGAGUGAAAAGGCAACCCACAGAACAGAACUAAAUAUUUGCGAAUCAUUAUCUCUGAUAAUGGAUUGGGAUCCAAAAUACACAAAGAAUGUCUAUAACUCAACAAUAAUAAAUCAAACAAUCUGAAUGAAAAAUGGGCAAAGGACUUGAACAGACACUUCUCCAAAGAAGAUAUACAAAAGGCCAAUAGGCAUAUGAAAAGAUGUUCAACAUCAUGGAUCAUUUGGAAAUGUAAAUCAAAACCAAAAUAAGAGGGCAGCCCGGGUGGCUCAGUGGUUUAGUGCUGCCUUCAGCCCAGGGCGUGAUCCUGGAGACCCGGAUGAGUCCCACAGGCUCCCUGCAUGGAGCCUGCUUCUCCCUCUGCCUGUCUCCCUCUCUCUAUCUGUCUCUGAUGAAUAAAUAAAUAAAAUCUUUAAAAAAAUUA